rnacentral:tRNA from 1 species
UCCCUGGCGGUCCAGUGGUUUGGACUCUACACUUCCAAUGCCAGGAGGCCUGGGUUCAAUCCCUGGUCAGGGAA